GCCAGGUGUGGUGGCACACACCUGUAAUCCCAGCUACUAGGGAGGCUGAGAUGGGAGAAUCGCUUGAACUCGGGAGCUGGAGGUUGCAGUGAGCUGAGAUCGUGCCAUUGCACUCCAGCCUGGGUGACAGAGUGAGACUCCGUCUCAA
rnacentral:sRNA from 1 species